CUGUCACUUAUAGAUGGAUCCGCGCCGUAUUAGCUAGUUGGUAAGGUAACGGCUUACCAAGGCAACGAUACGUAGCCGACCUGAGAGGGUGAUCGGCCACACUGGAACUGAGACACGGUCCAGACUCCUACGGGAGGCAGCAGUAGGGAAUCUUCCGCAAUGGGCGAAAGCCUGACGGAGCAACGCCGCGUGAGUGAUGAAGGUCUUCGGAUCGUAAAACUCUGUUAUCAGGGAAGAACAAAUGUGUAAGUAACUGUGCACAUCUUGACGGUACCUGAUCAGAAAGCCACGGCUAACUACGUGCCAGCAGCCGCGGUAAUACGUAGGUGGCAAGCGUUAUCCGGAAUUAUUGGGCGUAAAGCGCGCGUAGGCGGUUUUUUAAGUCUGAUGUGAAAGCCCACGGCUCAACCGUGGAGGGUCAUUGGAAACUGGAAAACUUGAGUGCAGAAGAGGAAAGUGGAAUUCCAUGUGUAGCGGUGAAAUGCGCAGAGAUAUGGAGGAACACCAGUGGCGAAGGCGACUUUCUGGUCUGUAACUGACGCUGAUGUGCGAAAGCGUGGGGAUCAAACAGGAUUAGAUACCCUGGUAGUCCACGCCGUAAA
rnacentral:rRNA from 1 species